UAUCGAGAUUGAUGGUUAUUCUUUUAUUGUACGUACAUACAUACUAUGAAUCGACCGGAUCAAAUCCUUUUGCUUUUAGUUGAUCAAUAUGAAAUGUAGAAUUACAAAAUUUCGACAAGCCAUUGAUAUCUCCUAGGCACAUUUUGACACUGUGUCAAAAUGAGUAAUAAGUAUACCGACGGUGACGUCAUAGGCGUCCCCGUCGAUUCGCCAACAAUAUAAUCCAAGUAACGAAAAUUGUUUUUGGAAACGUUGCGGCAAUACACUUCGUAUUCACCAUAUACGGACUUUAUAGUAAAACCUAUUUAUUAAGUCAUAGUCUGGAUUUGAGGACUUCGCUAUUCAAGUCUCAAUGCCAUAUGACAACGAUUGGCAGUUCCUGUGGACUAAACUGGAGGCCAACUUUGGAUUAUAACAAGGGUUGGACAAUUAGAGAGUGGAAUAAUAGAGAGGCUUUACUGUACUCUUAAGUAUCACCUUUGACCUCCUCUAUGACUACCAGUUAUUUAUUCUAGCACAUAUGUAAAUGUUUCGAUCGUACACACAGUGUAGAUACCAGUUCUUUUUACUCUUUUACCUACUUUUAGAAUGGAUGGGAAUAAGAGUGUGCUAGGUCACGGACUUUGCAAUUAUUCAUACCAUGAGAAUCACCACCUUCACUGCCACCACCUCCACUUCCACCACCGUCAGUAACCUCAGGAUCGUCUCCGAACAGUAUUAUUCUCCACCCUAGACAUUAGGGAUCCUUCCCAAAGUUCUUCUGCAAACGUCUCGAGUGCCAUCUUGAGGGACUUAUAGGAGUAGCCUAAAGAAACAGACGAAUUAGGUAAAAGCAAUAAAAGGUACCUUUUUCUCCUCUCAACUGUGCUCAUACUGAUUCGAUCAUUUUUCACUGAUAAAUCAUUCAAUUAAUUAUGGCUCCCCUCACUUUCGCUAUUGGCAUUAAGUUGAAUUUGGGAUCUGACAGUUUUUUUUGUACGAAAAUAAUUCCAUAGCUCCAUCUACUCUUAUACUUUUAUCUAAGCCACUUUUUUCUUUUUAUAUCGACCAUUGUGUAUUGUAUGUAUCAAAUCUGACGCACACUAUCAGAAAUGGCGGAGUGAAGGAAGAGGCGAUCUGCUAGAAGUUUCGGUAUACCAGACACCCAGAUGCUUGACAGAGUGACAAAGGUAAAAGGAGAUCCUUACUGUCUCAGACAAGAGGAGCUAUAACAAUACGGCGGAUCCACAAGUACUUACUGUGUACUAGCACGUACUAUACUUCGAGGGGCCGUGCAUACUAAUAACGAGUAAGUCUGUAUUACGUGAGAAUAGCCCAUACGUAUUCAAUAGUUCGUAUCCACGUGCAUCUUGAUAUCAGGCAACAAUACGUAAUACAGAUUCAUCAUUGAUCUACAUAAAUUGUGCGUAGCCACUUUUAUAUUUAAUUAAGAAGUUUCAAAGGGGAAGUAAAUUAUAAAUUUAAUCUUGGAACCAUGUGAUGACGUCAUCGCCGACGCCAGAUAUAUUUUAAUUUAGACGUCAUAAAAAAUGCUGUCUUACCGUUUUACGGUUAAUUAGAAAUAUGUAUACAAAGAUACUUUACUUGUUUUUAUCCUUGUUGUAUACUAAUUCUUAAGACUGUGAAAAACUACUAAAGUCGAAAGUUUAAUUGAAUUGAAUGCUAUUGGAUAGCGGCUCUCUUGCUCGUGAAGAUAAAUCCGCCAUCUUGAACACGUAAUCGUUUAAUGAGAUUUUGCUGCUUUAAGUUUUAAGUGAAACCUCGAACUUUCUUUGAUACACUGUAUUUAUGGAAUAAUGAUAAAAUCCAUUCUUUUGUUUCACGAUAAUCGAAUACUUAUAAAUUAUUAUAAUAUAUGUAUAGUUGUGUUGAAGUUUAAAAAAACGGUUUUUAUUGUCCUGAAAAUUAAAUCAACCGAUAUAUCUUACUCAGUUACCGAUUUCGUUUCUGACGUCAAGUUUGUCUUGUGAUAUUUCGUUAAACAGUCGCUAAUCGUUAAUUGGAUUCAAAAUGUACAUACGCUAAUUAGUAACGUAACGAACUUUCGUACCUGUUUAGGUUAAAGUUUAGCACUGUAUCAAAAAGUUUGUCACGAGUUUGAAAAAGUUUUUCAACGUUGAGGAGUAAUUUCUGGAAAAAUUGAUAAUGGCAAAAAAGACUAUUAUUGUCUCUCAAACUCGAUUUCAAAAACAUCCAUUAUUCUUGUAACAAAUAAGAUUCAGUUACUUUUUCCGAUAAGGUGUUCUUACGUUUAUGCAAAGCUUCAAGGGGAAUCUACAACGACAAGAUUGCGAUGCGAAAGUGGCGACAUUUCGAAUUGGUAAAAAUAGUGAACAUAACCAAACAAUAUACAUAUAUAUAUUUAUGUGACAAAUAGAUCUUGAUGAAAUAAAGUAUAAUUGCGUAAUCAUUAGUCGAUGUAUUUGUGUAUAGAUAUACUAAUCGAUAAAGAAAUUAAUUACUUAAUCGACACUGACCUUUUAAUCAUCGAUUAAUAAGUCCGAGCAUUUAAACUUUACUCUGCGGCAUGCCUAUAGUACAUAUAGUAUAGACUUUAGUAUUUCUAUUAAAAUUCCCAACAAUGUUACAAAGGUCAAAGUUCACUUAACGAUUUUUGAGGCCACUAUUCGCAAAUUUGAGGUAAAAACUUCAAAAUUACUUCAGAGAAUUGCUAAAAACUAUAGUUAUAAUCGAAUACGAUCGUGAACUCAAAUUUGGUUGAAUAUCGAAAAUCGUUAAAAAUUUAAUCAUGUAUCGAUCUCGAGCAUCUUCGAAAUUUCUGCUUCUAAAUGUAGUUACUUUCCCACUGGAACAUCCCAGUUAUCUCCAGUCUAUAAAUCUUUCUCUCAAUUUUAUUUUGGAUUCUCGAAACGUUCUCAUUUCUUACUUGACUUUCCAACCGUGUAAUCAUACUUCACGUGACUCCUAGUAACAAUAAUAAUCUCUGAAUUCCAAAAAAAAAGAUCAGAACACUAAUAAUGAAAUAAUAAAACUCUAUAAAAGACGAGGAAAGGAAAUAAUAAUAAUAAAAUAAUUUUAAAUUACACGAACGUACAAUAAAUAAAUGUUUGGUGAAAACUGCGAAGACAUUGACAAAACCAUUUUUCAGAAAGAUGCCGCUCAGAUCUCAUGAUAAGGUACAUUGUGUGCGUUAUCCCUUAUCACAAAUUCAAGAAGACUAAUUUAUUAUCUCUUAUCUCGGUUUUCGCGUGCAUCACGUAACGCUGAAAAUAUCAAAAGGGAUGUAUUUCAGGGAUGUACAUAAGGGAUGAAAUUUUAUAAUACAUUUUAUCAAUACUCUGUAUACAAAUAAAAAAUAUUUCGAAUUAUA